rnacentral:lncRNA from 1 species
AGGUAAUCUCCUCAAUAAAGGUACUAUGGUAGCAUCAUUCGGCUAAAGAAGCCACAUAGGAGCCAGAAGAGGAAAUGAAUGCCAAAUACCCACAUCUGUUUGUGACCACUAGUAAGUCCAAUUUGGAGGACCAAAUUUUUUUUUUAAAGGGGGAAGAUGUGAUAGCUCGAAAAUAUCCUAUCAAUUUCCGUCAAGUCAUGAAAACUUUUAACUCUUAAAAAUAAAUUGAUGCCAUGAAUGAAGAGAUAAAGUCCAUGAAGGACAAUGACAUUUGAGAUCUUGUCCCAUCGCCUAAAGAUGUGAAAUUCAUUGGU